UGUGGAUUCACCAGUGCGGAUCGAACAGCACCGUUUGCUCCAGCCCUGAUUCUACCAUAUCGAGAUGGUGUACAAGGAGAUGCGCAAGUGUAUUCCACAUCUUGAGGGAGAUGCAAGAUAUGCUUCCGCGAUCCUUGCUGCAGGUGUUCAAAUAAAUGAUUUAAAGUUUCA